rnacentral:rRNA from 1 species
UGCAGUCGNNCGGUAGCACAGAGAGCUUGCUCUCGGGUGACGAGUGGCGGACGGGUGAGUAAUGUCUGGGAAACUGCCUGAUGGAGGGGGAUAACUACUGGAAACGGUAGCUAAUACCGCAUAACGUCNCAAGACCAAAGAGGGGGACCUUCGGGCCUCUUGCCAUCAGAUGUGCCCAGAUGGGAUUAGCUAGUAGGUGGGGUAACGGCUCACCUAGGCGACGAUCCCUAGCUGGUCUGAGAGGAUGACCAGCCACACUGGAACUGAGACACGGUCCAGACUCCUACGGGAGGCAGCAGUGGGGAAUAUUGCACAAUGGGCGCAAGCCUGAUGCAGCCAUGCCGCGUGUAUGAAGAAGGCCUUCGGGUUGUAAAGUGCUCUCAGCGAGGAGGAAGGCAUUAAGGUUAAUAACCUUAGUGAUUGACGUUACUCGCAGAAGAAGCACCGGCUAACUCCGUGCCAGCAGCCGCGGUAAUACGGAGGGUGCAAGCGUUAAUCGGAAUUACUGGGCGUAAAGCGCACGCAGGCGGUCUGUCAAGUCGGAUGUGAAAUCCCCGGGCUCAACCUGGGAACUGCAUUCGAAACUGGCAGGCUAGAGUCUUGUAGAGGGGGGUAGAAUUCCAGGUGUAGCGGUGAAAUGCGUAGAGAUCUGGAGGAAUACCGGUGGCGAAGGCGGCCCCCUGGACAAAGACUGACGCUCAGGUGCGAAAGCGUNNNAGCAAACAGGAUUAGAUACCCUGGUAGUCCACGCCGUAAACGAUGUCGACUUGGAGGUUGUUCCCUUGAGGAGUGGCUUCCGGAGCUAACGCGUUAAGUCGACCGCCUGGGGAGUACGGCCG